rnacentral:rRNA from 1 species
UCCCUGGUUGAUCCUGCCAGUAGUUAUAUGCUUGUCUCAAAGAUUAAGCCAUGCAUGUCUCAGUGCAAGCCGUAUUAAGGCGAUACCGCGAAUGGCUCAAUAUAUCAGUUUUGGUUCCUUAGAUCUUACUCGGUUACCUUGGAUAACUGUGGUAAUUCUAGAGCUAAUACAUGCAAUCAGAACUCUGAACCAGUGAUGGGACGAGUGCUUUUAUUAGAUCAAAACCAAUCGACGGAGGGCCUCGCGUCCGAAGUCGUUAAUUUUGAUGAAUCUGGAUAACUUUUGCCGAUCGCACGGUCCAGUACCGGCGACGCAUCUUUCAAAUGUCUGCCUUAUCAACUUUCGAUGGUAGUUUCUGCGACUACCCAUGGUUGUCACGGGUAACGGGGAAUCAGGGUUCGAUUCCGGAGAGGGAGCCUGAGAAACGGCUACCACAUCCAAGGAAGGCAGCAGGCGCGCAAAUUACCCACUCCCGGCACGGGGAGGUAGUGACGAAAAAUAACGAUACGCGACUCUUACGAGGCCUCGUAAUCGGAAUGAGUACACCUUCAAAUAUUUUAACGAGGAACAAUUGGAGGGCAAGUCUGGUGCCAGCAGCCGCGGUAAUUCCAGCUCCAAUAGCGUAUACUAAAAUUGUUGCGGUUAAAAAGCUCGUAGUUGCAUUUGUGCGCCGCGCUGUCGGUGCACCGCAUCCGCGGUGAUACUGACACGUCUGCGGAGCAUAUCGUCGGUGAGCCGUCGUUAACGCGACGGUUCAAUAUCAAAAUCCUAUCGCGGUGCUCUUCGUUGAGUGUCGAGAUGGGCCGACAAUUUUACUUUGAACAAAUUAGAGUGCUCAAAGCGGGCUCAAAAAUGCCCGCUUGAAUAUUCCGUGCAUGGAAUAAUAGAAUAUGAUCUCGGUUCUAUUUUGUUGGUUUUCAGAACUCCGAGGUAAUGAUUAAUAGGGAUAACUGGGGGCAUUCGUAUUGCGACGUUAGAGGUGAAAUUCUUGGAUCGUCGCAAAGCGAACAUCAGCGAAAGCAUUUGCCAAAGGUUGUUUUCAUCAAUCAAGAACGAAAGUUAGAGGUUCGAAGGCGAUUAGAUACCGCCCCUAGUUCUAACCGUAAAUAUGUCAUCUAGCGAUCCGCCGACGUUACUACAAUGGCUCGGCGGGCAGCUUCCGGGAAACCAAAGAUUUUGGACUCCGGGGGGAGUAUGGUUGCAAAGCUGAAACUUAAAGGAAUUGACGGAAGGGCACCACCAGGAGUGGAGCCUGCGGCUUAAUUUGACUCAACACGGGAAAUCUCACCAGGCCCGGACACCGGAAGGAUUGACAGAUUAACAGCUCUUUCUUGAUUCGGUGGGUGGUGGUGCAUGGCCGUUCUUAGUUGGUGGAGCGAUUUGUCUGGUUAAUUCCGGUAACGAACGAGACUCUAGCCUGCUAAAUAGGCGUCGUCAUUUAGGUGUGCGCGACUCCGGUCGCGCAACUCACUGGCGGCGUAUUAAAGUUCUUCUUAGAGGGACCGGCGUCUUCGAGGCGCACGAGAUUGAGCAAUAACAGGUCUGUGAUGCCCUUAGAUGUCCUGGGCCGCACCGCGCGCUAACACUGAAGGAAUCAGCAUGUUCUCCCUGGCCUAGAGGCCCGGGCAACCCGUUGAAACUCCUUCGUGCUGGGAUUGGGGUUUGCAAUUAUCCCCCAUAAACGAGGAAUUCCUAGUAAUCGCGGGUCAUAAGCCCGCGAUGAUUAAGUCCCUGCCCUUGUACACACGCCCGUCGCUACUACCGAUUGAAUGAUUUAGUGAGGUCUUCGGACCGACAGCGGUGGCUUCACGGCCGUCGGCGUUGCUGGGAAGUUGACCAAACUUGAUCAUUUAGAGGAAGUAAAAGUCGUAACAAGGUUUCCGUAGGGGAACCUGCGGAAGGAUCAUUA